GUUCUGUUCCUCUCUCUCUCCAUCUCUGUAGUUUCCGGGUAUGCUGGAAAAGGACCCGAGCUAAGGGAAUGGGCUGACUUUGUAGUGCCUGUCCCAAAUGGCUCAUUAAUGUAAAUGGGCAUAUUGAAAGACACUGUCAGUAGUGAUGUCAUUUUGUAAAUGUUAUGUUGUGAUAUUGUUUCAAAACCCUGUUGCAAUUAGUAUGUUUAGUUAAAGGGAAAAUGUAGGUUUGUAUAGGUAAUUGCUUAAUUAAUUAGUGUUAAUUGUUCUGAGGGGAGGGGCUAGCCCUACAAAAGGAGCCUCUCUUUCAGUUCAUGGGGAGGCAUUUUGGAUUGAGCUGUGGAUGGGGUAGCAUUGUUUUUAGCUGGCCCAUAUGGUAUAUGUUUGAUGGCAGUACUGUUGUUUUUGUUCCGGAAUCACUUUGUAAAUAAACACCCUUGCACUGAAGAACUUUUGUGGCUCCGCCAUCUUUUUAUUUUGAUAGAGGUUAGGUUUUCCAGUUUAGCCUUCUGGCAUACUCUACGUGACAUACUCAAUGUGAAUCUGAAGGCUGGCACCCUGAACCUGAGCUGGUGUGGCCGGACAGUAAAGGAGUCAAUCUCAAAUGUGAAAACUGUUUUAGGGUGUGUAGACUUUCACUAGGCCAUUGAUUCUUGAAGAAAUUAAGUUAUACAUUCUUGUCGAGCUUAGUUUAACUGUUCUUCCUUAUCAGAACCAAAUAUAGGCCUGUAACUGAAAACACUGUAUAGACUUAAAACAUGGUUCAAACUUUAAGUCCUUGCAUCCAUAGCUCCUAUAUGUUAAUGGUCAGUGCUAACACAGAUCCUUGGGACAUCCCUAUCCUAAACGAUAACCCUAACCUUAACUCUUACUGUAAUCUUACACAUAACCAAAUCCCUUACCAAACCUUAAACAUUUUAACAAUGGGGUAGGGAUGUCCAAAGGAUGCUGAAUAGCAUGGACCGUAUGUUUAUUUUCUGAGAUCUGUGUCCAUGAAUACUGGGCAGGGGCACAAGAUGGGAGUCUGGUGUGAGAGAGACAGUGGCCUGGCCAUAGAAUUAGGAAUAAUAAUUCUAUGACAUAGCCUGACAAUAGAUCACAGAAAAGAGUUAUAUUCCGAGGGAAAUUGAUCCCAGGCCUUUGUGGCCCAGAGUUGCCCAUCCCUGACCUAGAAUUGUGAAAUUCUGUGCAUAGUUCCCUCUUCGCACAAGGAACACAUUUGCCUCAAGGACCCACAAAGUCUGCCAUGAUGGAUUUUCUGCCCAUUUGAAUUUCUGAAAAACACAUCUCCUUCGGAGCCACAGGGCCGAUCUGGAUGAAACUUGAUAUAUGGCAUCUAUGGCUAAAUGUCUUUCAAUGCAAUAUUUUCCAGACUAGUAUGUCAAACAACUGACCAAUAACCAUUAAUGUGGCAUGGUCUGGCACAUAAAUGCAUAUAAAUCAGACAGACAUUUGUAUUGUAACCAAACUUGGUAAACAUGUUCUUAACCCUGUCAAGACUCAACAUAUGCAAGCAGAUUUAGAUUGACCACACGGUGGCGCUACAACAGGCACAUAUUUAUCUCUUUGGAUCUGUUUGACUCAGUGCUGAAAUUGAAAACCUCUGGUUAUUGUGAUGUGUUGAUGUGCUUCCCAUUUGAGGUCUGGAUUGUGAUUCCUAUGAUUUUUGUGUGGUGUCAAAAUCUGAAUGAUUGUUGCAACAACUUAUUUUGGUCUUCUUUCUGUUAUUCAAAAGGUGCUGUCAGGAGAAACAAAUUGAUACCAUUUCAUCCUUCCACUCUCACCUGGUUGUUAGUUCUAUCAGUUAAGUUGCUUGAGAAGUGGACUUAUUGUUAAUUUUAUUUGUUUGAUUGCUAUGCAGCCUGGCAAUGUUCUUAUCCCUUGCUUGCUAGCUAGCCAUCUGUGGCUGAUACAGUCAAGUCAACGCUGCAGAUACAGUGCAUUCGGAAAGUAUUCAGACACCUUGACUUUUUCCAAGAUUUUUUACAUUACAGCCUUAUUCUAAAUUGAUCAAAUUCGAAUUUUUAUCAUCAAUCUACACACAAUACCCAAUAAUGACAAAGCAAUAACAGGUUUUGGGGAAUUUUUGCAAAUGUAUAUAUUUCAGUUGUUUUAUACAUCACAUUUACGCAACUAUUCAGACCCUUUACUCAGUACUUUGUUGCAGUUCUUUGGCAGCGAUUACAGCCUUGAGUAUAACAUUACAAGCAUAGCGCACCUGAAUUUGAGGAAUUUCAACCAUUCAUGAAUGCAGAUCCUCUCAAACUCUAUCAGGUUCGAUGGGGAGUGUCACUGCACAGCUAUUUUCAGGUCUUUCCGUAGCUGUUUGAUCAGGUUCAAGUCCGGGAUCUAGCAGGGCCACUCAAGGACAUUCAGAGACUUGAUCCGAAGUCACUCCUGUCUUGGCUGUGUGCUUAGGGUCGUUGUCCUGUUGGAAGGUGAACCUUCGCUCCAGUCUGAGGUCCUGAGCCCUCUGGAGCAGGUUUUCAUGUACUUUGCUCCGUUAAUCUUUGCCUUGAUCCUGACUAGUCUCCCAGUCCCUCCUGCUGAAAAAUAUUCCCACACCAUGAUGCUGCCACCACCAUGCUUCACCGUAGGGAUGGUUCCAGGUUUCCUCCUGUUGUAACGCUUGGUGUUCAGGCCAAAGAGUUCAAUCAGACCAUAGAAUCUAGUUUCUGAUGGUCUGAGUCUCAAAACAUUAGAAAAAUGAUUAUGUGUGGAUACGGUGGGAACAUGUGGAUCUGAGCAAGUGUGAUGGCAUUAAUGUUGGUAAAUGCUAAGUCGUCUAUUGUUUUUGUCAAUUAUGUUUUUGAUUGUUAAAUAUUUAAUUCAUUGUUUGUCUGCUUUACUACAGAUUGCUCAGAACUUUUGCAUUUCAAACCCAGACUGCUUGGGGAAACUCACUGAUAACUGGAUCAUGGUCUUCGAGGACAAAAAACUGAGAGAAGCAAGCCCAAGAUCUUCUCUUCGAAGUGCAGGUCAAUCUUGAGGAGUGAGUCUCCCACCAGGUGCCUGAAGCCACAGCCGUAGAAGUAGCGAUAGGGCCGCGUGUUGAACUUGCUGUAGUUGAUCUGGGGGAACUCCAGACCUCCGUACUCAUAAAGGUCCUCUCCAUGGAGAUCCUCAAACUGGCACACCACCUGACCAGGACACAAAGAGAUCAAGCUGAACAAGAGUUGAUAAAAGGUAAAAGCCGGCAACUUAAUUCCCUUCAAUAAUUUAAAGAAAGCUGACACUUUUCAACACAAGCUCCUUCAUCAGUGAUUGAGUGGCUAUUUACGUUUUCCACAGAAGUGUAAAUGUACUGUAAUGGUAAUUGUCAAAAUAAAGGAAACACUUGAGUAAAUGAUCAUAUCAAAUACAUCACUGGAACGCCCAAUAAGGUGUUUACAUGUCCAAAUAAUAUGAAAGAUUGCUCAAAACCAGAUGUUUUAAUCGGUGUAUGCUUACUUUGAUUUUGACCUUACGCUGAUUAAGAUAAGCAGAGUAAGGUGUUUACAUUACUAUAAUCUAUAUAUAUAUAUGUAUAAUCUGCCUGCUGACAUAAUCAGAACAGGGGGUUUAAAGCGUGUGUGUCUCAGUCGCCAGAGUUGUGUACUACGAGCAAGCUAAAUCUACUCAGGCUUUUAUAAAGCUAGACCACUUCAGUUAGCUUCACAUUCCAGGUCAGGCUUCAUCCGCAUUAUGACAGUGGAUAUUGCUCGCCCGCCUGCCACUAACUCUAACAGGCUUGUAACUGCGCGUGCAUGUCACACAUGGCUAGUCAAACGCCAGACUCUUCAUUGAGACAAUUAAUCCAUGGGUGAGUCAGUGCCAUAUUUUUGCAAAUUCAGCAGGCUAUGGUGUGAAAUAAGCUUUUAGAUGUUUCGUCUUUAUUUUAUUGCGUAUCAUUAAUGCAGUCUUUGAUGCGCAAGCACCUUUUUUCCCCCCUAAUUCAUCUUCUAUCUGUGGAACAGCUUUUUGUGUUGUGUCCAUAGACAUAUAAUCCAUAGAAGGGUUUUGGAAACUCUAACCCUUCUUUAAUCACGCCCUAACCUUAGAGAGCGUUUUUUAUGUCUCUUUUUGGUUUGGUCAGGGUGUGAUUUGGGUGUGCAUUCUAUGUCCUUUACUUCUAUGAUUUUGUGUUUCUAUGUUUUGGCCGGGUAUGGUUCUCAAUCAGGGACAGCUGUCUGUCAUUGUCUCUGAUUGGGAACCAUACUUAGAUAGCCCUUUUUCCCUCCUUUCAGGGUGGGUAGUUGACUUGUGUUUGUGGCACUUAGCUUAAGCUUCACGGUUGUUUUGUUGGCGUCAUUCCAAAAUAAAGGAUAAUGUAUGCUCAUCACGCUGCACUUUGGUCUUCUUCCAGCAUCGGUUGUGACACCCUGGCAAUUUGACUGUACACUAGCAAUGUCUGCAAGUCUUGACGUGAAAGGGAACUGCCAUCUAUGGAUUAUAAACUGUGUUUACAGACAUUAGGAACAUCUUCCUAGUAUUGAGUUGGACCCCCUUUUGACCACAACAGCCUCAAUUCUUUGUGUCAAGUUGGCUGGAUGUCCUUUGGGUGGUGGACCAAUGUUGAUAAAAAUGGGAAACUGUUGAGUGUGAAAAAACCAGCAGCAUUGCAGUUCUUGACACACACAAACCAGUACGCUUGGCAUCUGCUACCACACCCUGUUCAAAAGCACAAUAUUUUGUCUUGCCCAUUCACUCUCUGAAUGGCACACAUACACAAUCCAUGUCUCAAGGCUUAAAAACUCUUCUUUAAUCUGUCUCCUCCCCUUCAUCCACACUGAUUGAAGUGGAUUUACAGGUGACAUCAAUAAGGGAUCAAAGUAUUCACCUGGCCAGUCUGUCAUGAAAAGAGCAGGUGUUCCUAAUGUUUGGUCACUCAGUGAGUACAGUUACAUGCACACAAUAAUAUGAAUAUUGUGGAUAGUCAGAUUAAUAUAAUAGUUUGUUUAAAAUCUUUACAUGCUUUGCAAGAAGAACGAUUUACAUAAUAGCCCUGUUUACAUGCUCACAUCUGAAAACAGGCAACCUGAUGGGACUUAAAUAAAUGCAGAAAAUCACCAAUCAAAAUACCCUUUCUGCCACAGCGACCAUGCUAUUUUUGCAAAGUAUUUUUUAUUCUGAGUUCAGACAUAUAAAGUUUCUAUGUGAAAAUUAUUUCUAAUAUGCAUAAGCCCGCACAUAAGGAGGCUUGCGCUACUGGUGCUGGCAGAUAUGCUAAUCAAAUACACCACUGGAACACCAAUUAAGCUGUUUACAUGUAUUAAUAAUUUGAAAGAAAAUGAGGUGUUUAAAUCGACGUGUGCUUACUUCCAUUUUGAAUUUAAACCGAUUAAGAUAAGAGUUAAGUAUUUACAUGACUAUUGCCAUACUCAGCCUACUGCCAUAAUUUAGUUUAUUAUAAAAUGAUUAGUGUGCAUGUAAACAUACUCAGUGUAUGGCUAUGGUUGGUUACGGUUGUCAGUUUUGCCUUUCACAGAUUUCUAAAUACAAUCGUUGGAAAAAUGUACUGCUUGGAAAGCAAAUGCCGUUAUUAUACUAAAUGUGUAAAGUGAUAGUUAUUUUAACAUUACUAUUAUUUUACACACCAAAAAACAUGUGAUUUUAAAUAUUUUAUUAAUCAGUCGUCAUCCUCAAAUUAAGGGUAUGAUGACACAAUCUUUGCGAGAGGGAGGGUAUCUGAUAUAAUUGGUCCUCAACUCAGUCACUUCAUUCAGGAUAAAUGGAGUUAGCCUUGAGUUAUCCUACCCGAAGCAGGUUAGUUCCGAAGGUUUCGUUGCCAUAGAAAUGUACCUGGCUAAAAGGUGAGCAACUUUUGUGGUACCAGUAUCCCAAGUUGUACUCAAGAGUUGACAAAAGUUACCGUGCUAACUCCUCAAACCUGAUUCAUAGUGUUGGGAUCUGAUCUCAACCCAAUUGAACACUUUAUGGGAGAUUCUGGAGUGGCGCCUGAGACAGCGUUUUCCACCACCCUCAGCAAAACACCAAAUGUGGCAAUUAAUCCUGAAAGAAUGGUGUUGUAUCCCUUCAAUAGAGUUCCGGACACAUCUAUACCAAGGUGCAUUGAAGAUGUUCUGGCGACUCGUGGUGGCCCAACACCCCAUUUAAGAAACGUUAUAUUGAUGUAUCCUUUAUUUUGGCAGUUACCUGUAUAUCAUAACUGUCUCCACACUAGGGUUGAAUGGCAGGAACCUGGUUACCGAGAUUUACCGGGAUUUACCGCCCAAAACACUCCCUUUUCCCGGGAUAAAUAACUCAGAGAAACAGGUAAAUUAUAACAAGUUAUUAUAAUAAAUUAUUAUAACACCUGUGCUCCUCAGGCCUCUACUUAGAAAACUGUCCUUUCUUAUACCAAAAGACUAUGCGAAGAGGGAUGCAAGUUCUUUUUUUGCUGAAUGUUAAAAACAGCAGCCCAAUAGAAAUCAUAGGUAAUUUGAAAGAGUGAACGCGCGAUGGCGGAAGGCUAUAUCAUUUAUUUAUUCAGACCCAUAACCUUUCAAUCUGGAAUAUGAAUGAGAGGCUUCCAUUAUAGAACACCCUCUGACAUUACCCAAGUAAUCUCAUGCCCUGACCAUAGAGAGCUUUUUAUUCUCUAUGUUGGUUAGGUCGGGGUGUGACUAGGGUGGGCUAUCUAGGUUAUUAUAUAUCUAUGUUGGCCUGGUAUGGUUCCCAAUCAGAGGCAGCUGUUUAUCGUUGUCUCUGAUUUGGAUCAUAUUUAGGCAGCCAUUUCCCCAUUGUGCUUUGUGGGAUCUUGUCUAUGUCUAGUUGCCUGCAAGCACUACAUUUGCGUCACGUUUCGUUUGGCGCUUUAUUGUUUUCUGUGUGUUUCACUUCCAAAUAAAAAGGAUGGAACCAUACCACGCUGCAUUUUGGUCCGAUUCAUAUUACAACGAUCGUGACAAGUAAAGCCACAACACGUACGUUUUUCCAGCAGAAGACUAUGUUCGAUAAUGUCAAAGCUGCACUGAAGUCUAACAAGACAGCCCCCACAAUCAUUUUGUCAUCAAUUUCUCUCAGCCAAUCAUCAGUCAUUUGUGUAAGUGCCGUGCUUGUUGAGUGUCCUUCCCUAUAUGCAUGCUGAAAGUAUGUUCUCAAUUUGUUUACUGUGAAAUAGUAUUGUAUCUGGUCAAACACUAUUUUUUCCUCAAGUUUACUAAGGGGUGGUAACAGGCAAGAGUGUGCAGAGCUGUCAUCAAGGCAAAGGGUGGCUACUUUGAAUAAUCUAAAAUCAAAAAUAUAUUAUAUUUGUUUAACACUUUUUUGGUUACUACAUGAUUCCAUAUGUAUUCUUUUAUAGUUUUUCAUGUUUUCAUUAUUAUUCUACAAUGAAGAAAUCUGUAAAAAUAAAGAACAACCCGAAUGAG